AUUGAACGCUGGCGGCAGGCCUAACACAUGCAAGUCGAGCGAGCGGCGGCCGGGAGAGUAAUGUAUGGGGAUAUGCCCGAAAGAGGGGGAAAACUACUGGAAACUGUGACUAAUACCGCCUACUAUCGGAGGACCCCCUAUGGGAUUAGCUAGUAGGUGGGGUAACGGCUCACCUAGGCUACGAUCUCUAUCUGGUCUGAGAGGAUGAGCAGCCACACUGGGACUGAGACACGGCCCAGACUCCUACGGGAGGCAGCAGUGGGGAAUAUUGCACAAUGGGCGCAAGCCUGAUGCAGCCAUGCCGCGUGUAUGAAGAAGGCCUUAGGGUUGUAAAGUACUUUCAGCGGGGAGGCGUUACCCGCAGAAGAAGCACCGGCGAACUCCGUGCCAGCAGCCGCGGUAAUAC
rnacentral:rRNA from 1 species